rnacentral:rRNA from 1 species
GAUGAACGCUGGCGGCGUGCCUAAUACAUGCAAGUCGAACGGUCGGUUUCGGCCGAUAGUGGCGAACGGGUGAGUAACGCGUUGGUGACCUGCCCCGAAGAGGGGGGAUAACAGUUCGAAAGAGCUGCUAAUACCCCAUGUGAUCUCUAGGAUUAGAUGCCUGUUGAUGAAAAGGGAUUUAUCUCGCUUCGGGAGGGACCUGCGUCCCAUCAGCUAGUUGGUAGGGUAAUGGCCUACCAAGGCGAUGACGGGUAGGGGACCUGAGAGGGUGACCCCCCACACUGACACUGAAACACGGGUCAGACACCUACGGGUGGCUG